GGGGAAUUUUGGACAAUGGGCGCAAGCCUGAUCCAGCCAUUCCGCGUGCAGGAUGAAGGCCUUCGGGUUGUAAACUGCUUUUGUACGGAACGAAACGGUCUGCCCUAAUACGGCGGGCUAAUGACGGUACCGUAAGAAUAAGCACCGGCUAACUACGUGCCAGCAGCCGCGGUAAUACGUAGGGUGCAAGCGUUAAUCGGAAUUACUGGGCGUAAAGCGUGCGCAGGCGGUUAUAUAAGACAGAUGUGAAAUCCCCGGGCUCAACCUGGGAACUGCAUUUGUGACUGUAUGGCUAGAGUACGGCAGAGGGGGAUGGAAUUCCGCGUGUAGCAGUGAAAUGCGUAGAUAUGCGGAGGAACACCGAUGGCGAAGGCAAUCCCCUGGGCCUGUACUGACGCUCAUGCACGAAAGCGUGGGGAGCAAAC
rnacentral:rRNA from 1 species